rnacentral:rRNA from 1 species
UACGUAGGGUGCGAGCGUUAAUCGGAAUUACUGGGCGUAAAGCGUGCGCAGGCGGUUCGUUGUGUCGGCGGUGAAAGCCCCGGGCUCAACCUGGGAAUGGCCGUUGAAACUGGCGAACUGGAGUGUGGCAGAGGGGGGUGGAAUUCCGCGUGUAGCAGUGAAAUGCGUAGAGAUGCGGAGGAACACCGAUGGCGAAGGCAGCCCCCUGGGCUAACACUGACGCUCAGACACGAAAGCGUGGGGAGCAAACAGG